AAUGCGAGCUGAGAACAGCUGCGCGCCUGCCUCGCGUUGCGAACCCCGAGCGAGAGGCGCUUCAGAGACUGGAGGGACGGACCUGCAGGAGCCAGGGCUGCCCGCCGAGCUGCAGUUGCCGCCGCUGCCACUGUCGCGCCGCCGCCACCGCCGUCGCUGUCGCCGUCAGUGCCCUUCUGAAGAGUGACAGCGCCGUAAAAGCGGGAGGGAGCACCUAACCCCGCGCCUUUAUGAAACAGGUGCAUGCUCCGGUCUCCUGGUGAGUGGACCCAGCUUGCAAGGUAGCCAUUCAUGAGUCUGAGGCUUUGAGAAAUGCUCACUGUGAAAAGGGGAACUUUCACCAGAUUUUCUGAAGCUGUCCUAGAAAUACACUUUUCAGAUUGAUUCAGCAUUACCAGCUUAUCCAACAAAAGUAUUAACAUAUACAUUAACAACGUCGAAAGUAGCCUACUUUAAGAGAAAAUAUGCAGAAGAAGAAGAUUUACAUCAAGAUUACCAUGGGUAUUUUCCAAAACACCUGAUAUUGCCUGAGGACAGGACUUGCAUUCUUAAACUUUCGCUGGAGAAGCUCAGAUUUCUUGAAGACCCAGAAACCUACUUAAGAAGGUCUGUGUUAAUUAACAAUUUGCUGAGGAAGAUCCAUCUAGAGACGGAGAAAGAGAGCUAUGAAUACUUUAAAGAAGCUCCCUGUUAUAAGACUGCUUAUUCUGAUACAAGAAAACGGCUGAAGUUUAUGGUACAGGAAUGCUGUUCUCAGUCUCUCUAUUACGAAGAGCUGCAUUCGUAUCAUAUUGUGCCUUAUGCUUCGGAGAAUGCCAUUUAUGGAAUGGGCUACACUAGCAGCCACUUGGAGCAAAAUUCUCAGUUGCUUAUUUAUAAAAUGAAUUAAAUUAACUGUUAAAGUCCAUUGAUACCUGUUUCUAAAUGCCUGAACUGUUCAUAGUGAAGAUGUUAACAUAAGGCGCUAAUUAUCAGUGCCCUUGAGAUCAGAGAUGAGAUGCAUGCUGAACUGAUUGGAGAGAACCCUGGUUAUUAUUCAGCAGUCCUUAGUAUCAUCCAGCCAAAUUGAAAAUAUGUCCACGUAUUAUAAAGCAGAGAAUAAGUGCUUUAGAAGCUAAGUUUUCUUGCUUUUUUUUUUUUUAAGAUCGUGUAUGUAGGAAGGGACCUAAAUAAGUUCCUUUGCAGAUUUAAACAUUUCAAACCACCUAUUUCCAAAUUCUACCACUUCUCGUGGAAAGUAACAGAUUCAUAUUAAACAGAUAAUUUCUUGUCCCCGAGAAUUAAGGGUGGACCAAAUUGAAUUUUCUGUAAAUGAUGAAAGGAAGGGUCAGUCCUUUCUGAAAUGCUUUGGUUUGUCAAGCAUUGUGCCAAAUAAUUGACACCAUUCUCCUUUUACCAUUAGUGGCAAUUCAAGAUGUGACCAACCUUCUACAAUUUAACUGCUGAAUGUUAACAACCAGAACACUCCACACUGAUCCAUUUUACAUUUCUUUCUUUCUUUUUUUUUUUUUGCUUCAUAGAAUUUUCUCUUUAGAAGUGGAAUUUAUAAAAUAGCCUUGCAGAUAGGCUUAUCUCUAAGUUCUAGGGGUCAAUUAAAAUUUGUGGUUGGCCUUUAGUUGCAUUUAAAUUUAUUUAUGAUGUCACAUUUACAGGCCAUGAAGCUCAGGAAAUGGGUGGGCAGGUCAUCUUUGAUUUUAAUAGGCAGAUAUCUUUAGAGAAUCUUAUCUGCAAAAAAAUGGUGAGAACAAGAAAUCCUACAUGAUGUUAUUUCUUCAUCUGAGAGUUCAUUUAAGGCUGUCUAGAUGAAUCUUUGCACUGAUUUUUGUAUAAUAGUCGACCGUUCACUAUUUGACAAAACGUUUCAGAAUGCCUUUAGUAGUGAAGUUGAGAUAAGUUCCUAUAUUUUGCAAUUUGAAAGAUAAUUAGUUAACAAGUUGCAUAGAUUCCUGAAACUGUUUGAAAUGGUUCAUGAUGUUCUUUGAGGUUUGAGUGAAAUGUCUGAUUUCAAUGUCUGGACUUAUGUUCCAUGGCGCACAUCAUUUAAAGAAUUGUCAUUAACUGAUAAAACAGAUUGGAAAACUAGGUGCCAAAGGUACAUUUAAGAAAAUACCAAAGACCCAAAGAUGAGUGUUAGAUAGACUAUGAUAAUGAAGAUAAGAACCUAAAGUAAGGAUUAUACAGGACAUGGAAGAACAUUAUUAAAGGGAUUUGGAAUGAUUUGCUUACUAACGUGCUUUCAGAGCACUUUCUACAUACAUGAUAGUAAUAGUCAAGGGCACUGCUUGGGCCUUCAGUGGUCAUAUGUUUUCACAAACAUAUGUGACUUUUCUAAACAUUGUGACUUUUCAACAUUGUAUCUUCCCUUGUUGAAUGCCAUCUUGUAAUCAAGAAGGUCUUUAUCUCUUCAAGAGAAUUUUGUUUUUAGUUUUGAUUCACUACUUGCUCCCUCUAAUGAAUUAUCAGGGUGAUUAACAUGGAUGCUUUUGGUAUAAAGAAUAUGAGUUCCCUAAUUAGCAUGCAUUGUUAAAGACCACAUAGAUAUAUAACUGAUAAAAUUAUCAGGUUUCUAUUUAAUUGCUCAGUCAGAAUUAGAGAAAAAUGAUUUGGAACAAAUUAAAAUAUUAUAGUUGGGGCUAAUUUUUAAGGCAAUUUAGUAUGAAUGGUGAGAUAGCUUUGACAUACAAAUAUAUUUAAAAAUUAAUUUAAGGGCAAAAUUUGUUACCAAAUUUCAAAAAAUUUAUUUCACUACUUAUACCAUACCUUACUUCCCAGAAUGUGUUUAUUAAAAUGUAGUUUUCUUAAAUAAUGGAAAUAUUAAUUGAAGACUCUAAAUUUUAUAGGAUAAUUAUGUACUUUGAAAAAUAGAAUUAGUUCUCUAAUAGUUUAAAACUUCUUAUCAAUAGGGACAUUUGGCUUGGUUUAGAACAGUAUCUAUAAGAAAAAAACACACCAGUGCUAAUAGAUAUGACUUACAAAAAUGCAACAUACUGAAACUGUUUGAGGAUAUAAAUGUGUAUACUUGGGGAUUGAAAAGAGAGGGGGAGAAAAAAUUACCAAGAAAGUGUAAUAUUGUAAAAUUUACUGUUUGUCCGAAAUCUUAAAGCAAGAACUCUUGGGCAAUGAACCUGUAACAGACAUAAAAUCUGUUUUAUUUGAUGACAUCAUUAACUGAGCUCUCUGAAUUUUACAUUCAUAUACAGAGAAGGAACUGUCUUAGAAUUCAUUGGUAUUUGUGAAUAUGCUUCUCUUUUUUAAGAAAUAUGUGUUGAUUUCAAACCAGGUUAUUUAAAAACUAUCUUUUAGAGCAUUUAAUUUCUUUUCCAAUAAACAAUUCGUAGAUAAGGA
rnacentral:lncRNA from 1 species